GACGAACGCUGGCGGCGUGCUUAACACAUGCAAGUCGAACGGAAAGGCCCUGCUUUUGUGGGGUUCUCGAGUGGCGAACGGGUGAGUAACACGUGAGUAACCUGCCCUUGACUUUGGGAUAACUUCAGGAAACUGGGGCUAAUACCGGAUAGGAGCUCCUGCUGCAUGUGGGUGGUUGGAAAGUGUCGGCGGUUGGGGAUGGACUCGCGGGUUAUCAGCUUGUUUGUGGGGUAGUGGCUUACCAAGGCUUUGACGGGUAGCCGGCCUGAGAGGGUGACCGGCCACAUUGGGACUGCGAUACGGACCAGUAUCCUACGGGAGGCAGCAGUGGGGAAUAUUGCACAAUGGGCGGAAGCCUGAUGCAGCAACGCCGCGUGCGGGAUGACGGCCUUCGGGUUGUAAACCGCUUUCGCCUGUGACGAAGCGUGAGUGACGGUAAUGGGUAAAGAAGCACCGGCUAACUACGUG
rnacentral:rRNA from 1 species